AUGGGCUCCUUCUUUUCCUCUUUGACCGCCGACGCCGGCGGCGAGUCCGCCGUCAUCGAUCUCCACACCAAGGAGGAAUUCGACUCACACUUCGACGCCCACACCGCCUCCAACAAGCUUAUGGUGAUCGAUUUCUCGGCGAAGUGGUGCGGGCCGUGCCGAUUCAUCGGGCCGGUAUUCGAUUCCUACUCGAUCAAAUAUCCGGAUGUCGAUUUUGUAAAGAUUGAUGUUGAUGAGCUCUCGGAGGUGUCGGGGAAGUGGAAGGUACAGGCGAUGCCGACGUUUGUGCUGGUGAAGAAAGGGAAGGAGAUCACAAGGAUUGUGGGGGCGAAGAGGGAAGAACUGGAGCGGAAGAUCGUGCAGUUUAAGGCUUGAUUUCCAUUUCAUGCAGGCUCCAUGGUAUGUUUGCUUAUGCUUUAAAGAUAAUUAAUCAAGUCACAUAAAGAAAAUCCAUUAAAAAAAGAGAAUCCAGCGCUCAAGGCCCCUGUCAUUGGGGAGGGUCAGAUAUUCGCGAUAUUACCACUGUAUGCAGGAGCUUGAUUGAUGAUUUGAAUUGUG
rnacentral:misc_RNA from 1 species